GAGUAACGCGUAGGUAACCUGCCUACUAGCGGGGGAUAACUAUUGGAAACGAUAGCUAAUACCGCAUAACAGCAUUUAACUCAUGUUAGAUGCUUGAAAGGAGCAAUUGCUUCACUAGUAGAUGGACCUGCGUUGUAUUAGCUAGUUGGUGAGGUAACGGCUCACCAAGGCGACGAUACAUAGCCGACCUGAGAGGGUGAUCGGCCACACUGGGACUGAGACACGGCCCAGACUCCUACGGGAGGCAGCAGUAGGGAAUCUUCGGCAAUGGGGGCAACCCUGACCGAGCAACGCCGCGUGAGUGAAGAAGGUUUUCGGAUCGUAAAGCUCUGUUGUAAGAGAAGAACGUGUGUGAGAGUGGAAAGUUCACACAGUGACGGUAACUUACCAGAAAGGGACGGCUAACUACGUGCCAGCAGCCGCGGUAAUACGUAGGUCCCGAGCGUUGUCCGGAUUUAUUGGGCGUAAAGCGAGCGCAGGCGGUUUAAUAAGUCUGAAGUUAAAGGCAGUGGCUUAACCAUUGUUCGCUUUGGAAACUGUUAGACUUGAGUGCAGAAGGGGAGAGUGGAAUUCCAUGUGUA
rnacentral:rRNA from 1 species